rnacentral:lncRNA from 1 species
ACCCUAAGACUUCUCUCCUCCUAUUGUUGGUGGUCCUUUGAUAGUAGUUUCACAUGCUCCAAUGAGAUCUCGCUUUCCAUUGUUUUCUUUCCCUCAACUCCCUUAGAUUUAAAAAUUCAGAAAUGAAUUUCUCUAUGGUAUGGGCAUAUUAUUCCUUUAUUGAGAAAGUAUGCAACAAGGUUACUUGUUACUGGUACUAGAAGGUCACAAUUAUUAUAGUUUAAAUAAUGUGAAAGAGGGUGAUUGUUAGUGUGCCAUUGACCAGAUUUGAAGUUGAAAAAUAAAUUUUUGAAACAUUGUGAUAUACUCUUAACCACCAAAUUUUAUAUAUGAUGACAAUAAAUGAUUGUGACAUUCUUGCCGUUGAAGUAUACAAUACCCAUAUGAUUAGAAUAUUUUGCAAUAGAACUAGCUUCUUCAAUACAAGUUGUUGGCCGUUUAUAGUACAAAGUACA